AGAGCGAACGCUGGCGGCAGGCCUAACACAUGCAAGUCGAGCGCCCGUAGCAAUACGGGAGCGGCAGACGGGAUAGUAACACGUGGGAACGCGCCCUUCGGUUCGGAAUAACUCAGGGAAACUUGAGCUAAUACCGGAUACGCCCUUACGGGGAAAGAUUUAUUGCCGAAGGAACGGCCCGCGUCCGAUUAGCUAGUUGGUGAGGUAAUGGCUCACCAAGGCGACGAUCGGUAGCUGGUCUGAGAGGAUGACCAGCAUCACUGGGACUGAGACACGGCCCAGACUCCUACGGGAGGCAGCAGUGGGGAAUAUUGGACAAUGGCGCAAGCCUGAUCCAGCAAUGCCGCGUGAGUGAAGAAGGUCUUCGGAUUGUAAAGCUCUUUCGACGGGGACGAUGAUGACGGUACCGUAGAAGAAGCCCCGGCUAACUCGCGCCAGCAGCCGC
rnacentral:rRNA from 1 species